rnacentral:rRNA from 1 species
CCUACGGGUGGCAGCAGUGGGGAUUAUUGGACAAUGGGGGCAACCCUGAUCCAGCCAUGCCGCGUGUGUGAAGAAGGCCCUCGGGUUGUAAAGCACUUUCAGUGAGGAAGAACGCCUGGUGGUUAAUACCCAUCAGGAAAGACAUCACUCACAGAAGAAGCACCGGCUAACUCCGUGCCAGCAGCCGCGGUAAUACGGAGGGUGCGAGCGUUAAUCGGAAUUACUGGGCGUAAAGCGCGCGUAGGUGGCUUGAUAAGCCGGUUGUGAAAGCCCCGGGCUCAACCUGGGAACGGCAUCCGGAACUGUCAAGCUAGAGUGCAGGAGAGGAAGGUAGAAUUCCCGGUGUAGCGGUGAAAUGCGUAGAGAUCGGGAGGAAUACCAGUGGCGAAGGCGGCCUUCUGGACUGACACUGACACUGAGGUGCGAAAGCGUGGGUAGCAAACAGGAUUAGAUACCCCAGUAGUC